CGGGGUUUCACCAUUUACUUACCUAGACUGUCUCAAACUGCUGGGCUCAAGCGAUGCACCUGCCUUGGGGGAUUCUUAGUAAAUCUACAGGGCUGUGCAACCAUCACCACAAUCCAGUUUUGGAACACUUAAAUCACCUGGAAAAGAUCCCGCCUGUCCAUCUGCAGCCAAUCCUGGCCAUAACUCCCGAAGCCCCAGGCAGAAUGUACCAAGAUUGCAACAUCCUGAGAUAAAGAGGAACAACCCAGGCUCUCUCCACGAUCCUCCUAGAACAGAUGUCCUGCAACACUUGUGAUCAGUUAAGUCAAGUCCUGGCCAGAGUAUAAAACCCAGAGUUGGGGGGUGGUGUGCUUUCUGAGUCCCUCAGCUGCAGUGUGAAGUGGAGCUCGUGCAGAUGAGACUUCCUCUGUCCUAUGCACCUUUCUUGAGGCUUGGGGACCAGCUCACCGUGGAUCCUAGGCUUCUGUUGGCUUUUGCCGCCUUUCUGGGAGUAAUAAAGUUGCUUUGCCUUACUUGUGUAAGUGUUCUAUCUCCCUGGACUUAUACUCGGACAGCUGGGUUUGUGCAAAAUCUCCUAGCAAAUGCAGGAAUCUUAGCAGAAAUUAACGAGGUGU
rnacentral:lncRNA from 1 species